GAGUGAGGGGGUGACUAGUGACAGAGUGAGGGAGGGAAGGGGUGACUAGUGACGAAGUGAGGGAGGGGGUGACUGUCACUAGUCACCACCUCCCUCACUCUGUCACUAGUCACCACCUCCCUCUGUCACUACUCCCUCCCUCCUUCUGUCACUAGUCACCCCCUCUGUCCCUCCCUCUGGCACCUGGCACCCCCUCACUC